rnacentral:rRNA from 1 species
UGGGGAAUAUUGCACAAUGGGCGCAAGCCUGAUGCAGCCAUGCCGCGUGUGUGAAGAAGGCCUUCGGGUUGUAAAGCACUUUCAGCGGGGAGGAAGGCGAUAAGGUUAAUAACCUUGUCGAUUGACGUUACCCGCAGAAGAAGCACCGGCUAACUCCGUGCCAGCAGCCGCGGUAAUACGGAGGGUGCAAGCGUUAAUCGGAAUUACUGGGCGUAAAGCGCACGCAGGCGGUCUGUCAAGUCGGAUGUGAAAUCCCCGGGCUUAACCUGGGAGCUGCAUUCGAAACUGGCAGGCUAGAGUCUUGUAGAGGGGGGUAGAAUUCCAGGUGUAGCGGUGAAAUGCGUAGAGAUCUGGAGGAAUACCGGUGGCGAAGGCGGCCCCCUGGACAAAGACUGACGCUCAGGUGCGAAAGCGUGGGGAGCAAACAGG